GUACGAAGGGGCUGGAGAGCGUUGUCUCGGAAUCACUGGGCGUAAAGGGUGCGUAGGCGGGUCUUUAAGUCAGGGGUGAAAUCCUGGAGCUCAACUCCAGAACUGCCUUUGAUACUGAAGAUCUUGAGUUCGGGAGAGGUGAGUGGAACUGCGAGUGUAGAGGUGAAAUUCGUAGAUAUUCGCAAGAACACCAGUGGCGAAGGCGGCUCACUGGCCCGAUACUGACGCUGAGGCACGAAAGCGUGGGGAGCAAACAGG
rnacentral:rRNA from 1 species